UACGUAGGUGGCAAGCGUUGUCCGGAUUUACUGGGCGUAAAGGGCGUGCAGGCGGUUUGUUAAGUGCAGGGUGAAAGCUCCCGGCUCAACUGGGAGAGGUCCUUGCAUACUGGCAGACUUGAGGGAGGCAGAGGAAAGUGGAAUUCCCGGUGUAGUGGUGAUAUGCGUAGAUAUCUGGAGGAACACCGGUGGCGAAGGCGGCAUCCUGGACCGGUAUUGACGCUGAGGCGCGAAAGCGUGGGGAGCGAACAGG
rnacentral:rRNA from 1 species